rnacentral:rRNA from 1 species
CCUACGGGAGGCAGCAGUGGGGAAUAUUGGACAAUGGGGGAAACCCUGAUCCAGCGACGCCGCGUGAGUGAAGAAGUAUUUCGGUACGUAAAGCUCUAUCAGCAGGGAAGAAAAUGACGGUACCUGACCAAGAAGCCCCGGCUAACUACGUGCCAGCAGCCGCGGUAAUACGUAGGGGGCAAGCGUUAUCCGGAUUUACUGGGGGUAAAGGGGGCGUAGACGGCUGCGCAAGUCUGGAGUGAAAUGCCGGGGCCCAACCCCGGAACUGCUCUGGAAACUGUGAAGCUGGAGUGCAGGAGAGGUAAGCGGAAUUCCUGGUGUAGCGGUGAAAUGCGUAGAUAUUAGGAGGAACACCAGUGGCGAAGGCGGCCUACUGGACGGUGACUGACGCUGAGGCUCGAAAGCGUGGGGAGCAAACAGGAUUAGAUACCCCAGUAGUC